rnacentral:tRNA from 1 species
ACACUCCUCCUUAAUG